AAAACCUUAGGUGGAAUGGUUCAACAUACUUGGACCUUUCUAGUCAUCAUUGUGUAGUCAUUCACUUAUGUGUCGACACCAUCGUAUGUUAAAGGAUACCAAUCUAAGUACAAUUAUAGAUAUGUGAUAAUUAGAUUGUUGUUUCGUUUUCAUUUUUCAAACAGUACUCUAACAGAAGUAUCAAAACUCAUGAGUAUCAUGAAGUUAUUUAAACGUUUAAACCGUUAAAAAUGACAUUUCAGCAUUAAAACCUCAACGCCCAAUUAAAUCAAUGCAACUAAUGCAAUCGUUUUAUGUAUCAUUUCAACCUCGACACUUCAACCGAUUCUGCCAUUACAAUUCCUCCAACUAACCCAACCAACAUAAUUCACGCACACAUACUUCGUUAUGCUUAGAAACUCUUUUUAUGCUUUAAGAAGUCCCUAGUCAACUAAAGAAGCAAAACAACAGCUUUUUGUUUUGUGCUUUGUUAGUCUAUCUUUUAGACAACAUUACCUUUGUAAUUAACUAAUAAUUCAAAUUUUAAUCUUUCUGCAUUAAUUCGAGAUUCUUCACUCGGUGGUUAUCGUUGUCAGCCAGAAUUAAAAAUAGUAUAGUUUUCUCUUAAUUUUUUUACUAAAACUAAACAAAAAAACUUAUCUUUACGUAUCAUUAGUGGUAGUUAUCGUAUGGACCAAAAAGUCAUAAUUGUUAAUUUUGGGGGUUUGUGGAAAAAGAGAGGAAUGCUUGUUACCUACUCUUAUUAACUUCUCUCAUUCUCUCUUUCUUCUCUGCUACAACAGUCUCUCUAAUCACAUUGAGACAUAGAGAGAGAGAUUUGACAAAAGAAACUUAUUAAAGUCUUCUAAGGUUUAUUUUCUUGCUUUUUGUUGUGUUCUUGUUCUUUUGGCAAAAUGCAGAACAAACACAAAUGCAAGCUUUGUUCCAAGAGUUUCUGUAAUGGCAGAGCACUUGGUGGUCACAUGAAGUCUCACUUGGUCUCUUCUCAGUCGUCGACUCGGAAGAAACUCGGUGACUCGGUCUAUUCUUCUUCUUCUUCUUCCUCCGAUGGUAAAGCUCUCGUCUACGGGUUGCGAGAGAACCCGAGGAAGAGUUUCCGGGUCUUUAAUCCGGAUCCUGAGUCCUCCACCGUUUACAACAGUGAAACAGAGACCGAACCUGAGUCCGGAGACCCGGUUAAGAAACGGGUCACAGCAAAUGUUUCAAAGAAGAAGAAGAAGGCAAAGAGCAAGAGUAAGAAGCAGAAGACGAGUCACGAGUCACCAGAACCGGCGAGUUCUGUCUCUGAUGGUUCUCCGGAACAAGAUUUAGCUAUGUGUUUGAUGAUGCUGUCGAGAGAUUCAAGGGAGCUUGAGAUUAAACUGAAAAAACCGGUUUCUGAGGAGGAAGAGACGAAGCCGGAGAAAAGACAUUUCCCGGAGCUCCGCCGUUGUAUGAUAGAUCUGAAUCUUCCUCCGCCGCAAGACGCCGAAGCUGUUACCGUCGUUUCAGCCAUAUAAAGGUUUCAGAGAUUAGAGUUCCAUCAAAAAUCAAAGAAUCUUGAUGAUUUGGUUUGUCUUCAAGAUUAUUAUUCUUUAUUAGAAAAAACCGUUUAUUGGUUUUGGAAUCUUUGGGAUGAUAUUAUUAUCAAACAAUGUACUUUUGAUGUAAGACAACCAAAAAAAAAAAAAAAGAAGCAAGAAAGAAACUAGCUCUGUUUCUAGUUUUCUUAACAAUUUGAGCUUUCUUGAAUAUCCAGGAUGAUUAUAGAUUGUUGGAUCUUUCUUUGUUAUGUCGUUUUGAUGAUAUUUGGAAUUCUUGAGAUGAUUCUUUUGCAUGAUCUUUCGAUCUUGGAUCUUUUAUUUUAUUAAUGUGUUUUUAAUGGAACUAUUUAAUUUCAACUACAUUUUUUUAUGACACAACUCACACAAGUGUGUGCUAUUUUAAAUAAUGUAAAUAUUAUUCUCGCUACGUAUAACAACUAGUAUACACUGUGGUGAUACUCAAAAGUCUCAAAACCAUCCAAAAUAUGAUCAGUCAUAAGAGCAUGGUCAUGGGUGAUACUCAUAAAGUAUCAUUAAGAAUUUUUUUGUAUUAUUUAUAAUGUUUGUUUAAUAUUUUUUUUUAAUUUUUUCUCCUACUUUUGGCAAACGCGACCAAUUAGGAGAUGCCACGUCAGAUGAUACCGAUAUCAAAAGUAUCACUGGGUUGAUACUAAUCAUGCCCAUUCUAAUUAUUUUGUCAAUAUAAAAAUAAUAUUUGAGCUUGUGAUACUCUAAAAAUAUCACCCAUGUACAUGGUCUAAACAUUCAAAAAUAUCUCGAUAAGUGAAAUAUCUAAACUCAAAAAUACUGAGAUAUUUCACCUAAAAAUGCAAUGAAUUAUAUUCGUUGAAUAGUGGUGUAAUUCUCUUCUUGAACCUCUGACAAACUAGCUACGAAGAAUUAAAUCGAAUUUUUAUCUGAAUCAGAGAGAUCGUAUAUCUUAAAUUUCUGAUAUAUCGGUUUAUAUCCACCUUAUGCAUUACUACUUUUUUCUCAAAACAAUAAAAAGACAAUUACUUAUUGACAAAAGAAAAGAAAGGAUAAUUACUUAUUUGGUUCUUUAAUUCCUAAUUUGUUUGUGGUGUCGUUUGUGUCGCCAGCUGCAUCUUGUGUAACUCUGUCUAGUAGUAGUUUUAUACCAAAACAGAACCAAUUACCUAUGUUUCUUUCUUGACACAAAAAAAAAAAAGAAGAAAAAAACUCAGCACACAAUUUUUUAUUUUAUGGGCAAGGUCAUUAAGUAACAUACUUAUUUAUUACAGAAAUAUCCCUGAAUCCAUCUUCAAAAUCACGUUUCUGCAUGUUUACCCUUGCCUGACUCUCAGAGUUAAACAAACAAUUAUCCACUGACAGAUCGACACCAGAAUUAAACGAAGAGUCUUUUUCUUUAUAUAUAUUUUUUAGAUUUUUAGUUUGCUUGAGUAAUUUUCUUAAGAAAAAAGAACAAACAUUUCAUUAUGUGUCCGAACAGUUUGAAGAUGAAGGGUAUUUUAGUAUCAUGUCAUAUCAUAUAAAGGUCGGGGGACAUGUGGCACAACUUUUUCGCUUUAAGCUUCCUUUGGAAAAUAUGUGGACCGAUCAUAGAAAUACAAAUUAUGUACCCAAUUUAUCUAUUUUAGAGGUACCAAAUUUUAAGUGUCAUUCAUGUUCACCAUAAUUUUGGUUGAUAAUUUUAUAAUAUUUACACAAAAUAACAAUCUGUAAGAACAUUAUUCGAAAACAUAACAUAGCUAAGAUGUUUUUGUAAAUAAUAUGUAUUUCAUAUAUCUUACAAAGUGGUUACACGAUCAUAUAUAUACAAAAACAGAGGAAUAUUCUAGGUUAGAGCAAGUAUAAAAUGUUAUGUAAAAAAGGAAAGGAGAUAUUGAGGUAAUGAAGGCCAUGAUUCUGCUAUAUCCUUAACACCCUCCCUCAAGAUGGAGGGGAUUUGAUCACUCCAAUCUUGUUUCUUAACUCUAGGAACCGAGAACGAGCUAACGGUUUGGUGAGCGUAUCCGCUAGUUGAUCCUUUGUAUUGACGUGGGCGACGCGGAGGAGUCCAUUUUGUAUUUGACCACGGACGAAGUGGUAAUCAAUGGCAAUAUGUUUCAUCCUCGAGUGAAAAACGGGAUUAGCGCAUAGAAAUGUGGCGCCGAUAUUGUCACAGUAAAUGACUGGUGCUACUGGAAGUAUGAUUCGUAGCUCAGUGAGGAUGUUGCAUAUCCAACGUAUUUCAGAGGCGGUGUUGGCGACGGACCUGUACUCAGCUUCUGUUGACGAUCUUGACACACCGUUCUGCUUUUUGGCUGACCAUGAUAUUGGAUUUCUUCCUAGGUGGACAAUGUAUGCAUUUGUGGAUACAUAAUCAUGUGAAUCUCCAGCCCAAUCUGCAUCGGAAAAUGCAUGAAGUGUGAGCUGAUUGUUUGCGGAGAAGAAGAUCCCAUGAGUCGUUGUUCCGGCUAGAUAUCGGAGAAUUCUCUUUGCAGCCUGCCAGUGAUCUUCUGUUGAGCGAUGCAUAAAUUGAGAGAGACGAUUUACAGCAUAUCCAAUAUCAAGUCUCGUGAAGGCAAGAUAUUGCAAACUCCCGACCAGUUUCCGGUAAGAAGUUGGGUCUGUGAGGGUCGAACCUGAGGUGAGUGUCAGUUUUGGAGAUGAGGCCAUUGGUGUGCUGACGGGCUUGGCGUCUAUCAUGUUAUAGCUAUGGAGAAGAUCCAGAAUGUAUUUUCUCUGUGAGAGAUGCAGUCCUUUUGAUGUUCGAUGUGCUUCAAUGCCUAGGAAAUAGUUGAGGUCCUCCGGAUCCUUUACCGAAAACCUGUCAGCAAGUAGCUCAAGAAUCCGAGCAAUGCAUGAUCCAUUGCUACCCGUGAUAAGGAUGUCGUCUACAUAUACCAGCAGGUAUACAUAGUCUUUACCAUGUUGGAGAACGAACAAGGACGUAUCAGCCAGUGAGUUUGUGAAGCCAAGACUGAGAAGAUAAGUUUUCAAUUCUGUGUACCACGCACGCGGAGCCUGUUUCAGUUCGUAGACUGUUUUUCGAAGUCGGCAUACAUAAGAAGGGUUGUCGGAAUCAACGAAUCCAGGAGGUUGUUCCAUAUAGACUUCUUCAUUUAGAGUUCCUUGAAGGAACGCGUUGUUCACGUCCAACUGUUUUAUAGGCCAAGACUUUGAGACAGCAACAUCAAGCACGAGACGGAUGGUGGUGGAUUUGAUUACUGGACUGAACGUAUUAGUGUAGUCACGUCCUUGUUGUUGAUUGUAACCCUUGGCCACCAACCUUGCUUUACACCUGCCAAGAUAACCAUUAGAUAGAAAUUUGUUUUUGAAUAGCCAUUUGCAACCAACGACAUUGAAGUGAGGUUGCCGUGGAACCAAAUCAAAAGUCUGAUUUCUCGCAAAGGCAUCAAAUUUAGUUGACAUAGCACCACGCCAAUUCGGGUCUUUCAAAACCUGGUUCACGGUCCUUGGUUCAGGUGGUAUUGGGGUGGACAGGGCAACGGAGAGGUUAAGUUUUGAUUUGGGUUUGGUUAUGUUGUUUUUUGCACGAGUUUUCAUGGGGUGAAGGUUUGUUUGUUCUUGAGUUUCAGCUACAGGUACGGUUGAUGUCGAGGGAAGAGUGAUGUUUGUAGGAUUGGAUUUUGUCUUUUUUGGGUUUGGGCCAUGAUUUGAUUGGGCCGAUGAUGUUGGGCUAGGAAGUGGGUUGGUUUCUUUUUGGGCUUGAGUUGGUGCGUUAUUGGGCCGUGGGUAGAAGAGUUUGAUGGGUCUGGUUGGGUGUCGGGUCUAGUUGAGGAACGUACCUGGGAAUUGGUUUCGAUUUCUCGAUUCAGUGGUGACUCACGACUAUCAUUAUUGAAUUCGUUUCCCUGCGAUACGUUCUGGUGAUGGUCCGAGCUCGAGAGUCCAGGCGAAGACGGCAGAGACGGUGAUACGAGUGGAGGCUGUGGGAUGACGACGGCUUGUGGGUUUGUGGCGAUUUGAGUGAGAGCUGUGUUUGAUGGUGGUGGAUUUUGAGAAGAUUUUCGGAAUGGGAAUGUCUGUUUAUCGAAUUUGACGUGUCUAGAGAUGUAGAUACGACCUGAGGCUGGUUCAAGACAAAGAUAUGCACUUUGAGUGAGUGAAUAUCCUAAGAAGAUGCAGGGAGUGGAUCGAUUCUCGAGUUUAUGAUGAGUGUAUGGACGCAACCAAGGAAAACAGAGACAGCCGUAGACUCGUAGCUUUGCAUAAUUUGGUUCUUCACCGAAUAGUUUCUGGAAUGGAGUGUUCAUCGCAAGCACGGGCGUCGGUAGACGGUUGAUCAAGUAUACCGCAGUGGCGAAUGUGUAGGUCCAAUAGGACGUUGGCAUGGCAGCAUGUGUGAGGAGAGUUAGCCCGGUUUCCACAAUGUGACGAUGCUUCCUUUCGGAGAUUCCAUUGUGUUCUGGAGUGUGAGGCGGUGAGGUGAAAUGAGCGAUUCCGGCAUUAGAGAGGAAGGAUCGGAGAGCUAUGAAUUCACCACCAUUGUCUGAAUAUAGAGUUCCGAUUUUGGUGUUGAACCGAUUCUCAACGAGGGCUUUGAAGGGAAUGAAUGUGUCUUUCACUUGCGAUUUUGUUUUGAGUGGAUACAUCCAUGUGUAACGUGUAUAGUGAUCGAUAAGAACCAAGUAAUACUUGUAAUUAUCUACGGAGAUAAUCGGUGAGGUCCACACAUCAGUGAAGAUAAAUUCAAGAGGGCGAGAGGAGGUAAUGGACGUUUGUGAGAAGGGAAGUUUAUGACUUUUAUUUAUGGAGCAAUCAGUACAAAGUAUGUUUUGAGAACUCGAUUGCUUGCAAGGAAGAGAAAAGGUAGAAACAACUGUUUUAAGAAUAGAGGAAGACGGGUGGCCAAGGCGGUAGUGCCAUUCUGCUAAGGUUGGGUUUGAUGAAGAGGAAGCAAAGAAGGAGUUUAUUGUGGAUGGAGAGACUGGCCACUCGUAUAACUCAUCUCUAGUCUUGCCUUGGAGUAAUGGGACCCCUGAGCUGAGAUCCUUCACCUGAAAGUGGGCAGGGAAAAAUUCAACAGAAACUUUGUUAGAAUUACAUAGUCGAUAGACCGAGAUGAGAUUUUUAUGAAUGUUUGGGACACAUAAGACAUUAUUUAAGGAUAGGUUUCUAGAGGUAGAGGGUAGAGAUAGUGAACCAGUAUGAGUAAUUGAGAGACCAGAACCGUCACCGAUUAGCACAGCAUCAUCUCCAUGGUAUGGUUGAUGCAUCGCUAAGUUAUGAAGAUCACUUGUCAUGUGGUGUGUUGCCCCGCUAUCGAGUAGCCAUGGAUUCGUCGGGUGUGGAGAACCAAGUGCUAGAUUAGCACGUGGCUGCCAUGGGCGGAAUGGAGAAGGCAGUAAGCUUGACUGUGCGCUUGAUUGUUGUUGCUGCAGUUGUGAAUAUUUCCGGGCACUGUGACCGAACACACCACACAGCUGACACUUACCUUGAUACCCCUUUAUUACACGACCAUCCUGUUUUGUGGAUUGGUACUGUUGGUGAUUGUUAUUGUUCCAGGAUUGGUGAUUGCGAGACUGUUGUUUGCCGUUGAAAGGGCGUUGACGUGUGGUAGCAGUAUUAGCAGAGAUGGGGACCACGCUUGCUGUGGAGAGAGAUGUGGCCAUUAGCUUUGCUUCUUUGUUGAUGAGUUUUUCAUGAACUUCAGUGAUAGAUGGUGGAGUUUCACGUCCCUCAACUUGAUCAACGACGGAUUUGUAUUCUUCCGGGAGACCUUGGAGAAUGAAUUCGAUCUGCUCUUCAUGCUCUAGUGGCUUUCCAAGGAGAGCAAGCUGGUCAAAGCGUGUCGUUAAUCCUUGCAUAUACUCGUCAAUCGUUUUAUCACCUUUGGUUUGAUUCUUCAGUUGAAUGCGCAAUUGCUGGGUGUGACCCCAACUUGGCUUGGCGUACGUCGCAGUGAUAUGUUUCCACAUUUCUGCAGCAGAUCUGGUCUUUGAGACUAAGGACUGAAUUGAUGGUGAGAGGGUUCCAAUGAGGCCACUGUAAAUUAACUUAUCUUGAUGUCUCCAUUUUGUGUAGGCAGGAUUGAGUGUGGAUUGGUUGUUGACAGUGACGGUCGGAUCUGGUGGGACAGUGGAUCCAUCGAGGUACCCCGCAAGGUCGUAACCAUCAAGGAGUGAAUGAACUUGGAGGCUCCAUGUUAUGUAGUUGUUGGAGGUGAGUUUCGUCACGUUCAUCAUGUUGACGUUGAGGAGAGAUUGAGUGGUGUUAACAGUUUCAGCUAGGGCAGCCAUGGUGAGAAUUGAAACUGAGUAGAGAGAAGAGAAUAUGAGGAGCAGAGAUCUAGAGAGAGAGAGAGAGAGGCGGCUGCGAGAGAAAAAAAAUUUUAUUUAGGCUCUGAUACCAUGUAAAUAAUAUGUAUUUCAUAUAUCUUAUAAAGUGGUUACACGAUCAUAUAUAUACAAAAACAGAGAAAGGUUCUAGGUUAGAGCAAGUAUAGAAUGUUAUGUAAAGAAGGAAAGGAGAUAUUGAGGUAAUGAAGGCCAUGAUUCUGCUAUAUCCUUAACAGUUUUGACAAAAAUAUCAUAUUAACUCAUCAGGGCCCACUGUAAAACAGUGCAGUGGCACUCGAGUAGACCUCCCUGUAAAACGACAUAGUGUCUGAUGAAUCUGAAUAGGCUUAACUCUGAAGAACUUAGUGGGCCAUUAUGAACCUCAUUUGAUCUGGCCCAUUUUGAUGUGCUCAUUAGUUAGAAACUCAGUUUUUUUGAAACUUAUACAGUAGUUCCAUUUAUGCAUUUCUCUCAGUUAAAAUCAAAGAAAAUAAAGUUACUGUUAUCUUUGUUAAUCCUCUCUAACCUUUAUUAUGUACAUAAGCAAUCCAUCAAGAUGAUCAAAAUCUUGCCGUCUUAAUCAGUACAAUUUGCUGAGACAAGAAGUGACUCCUGAUUCACCCAACCGCGGAAACAAAACCUCUUUGUCAAUCAUAACCUGAAGAUGUGAUGUGAUCUUCACAAAGGAGACCCAUAGAAACGGUGCACAACAAAAUGCAUACCCGAAAACGGACAAUGCUCUGACAACGCCAUCAGGAUAAGAAGGAAAAGCCAUCACUAGGAGCGUUCCGAAAAUGCCAAUCAACGGUGUUAUGACGGGGAGCAUUGGAAGCAAGAAGGCAUUGAUGGGUAUGGUAGAGAGAACAAAGGAGCCGGUUAAGUAGAGAGACCAACCGAUGAGCGGGUGGAUCGUCUGUGGGAUGAUGAAGAAUGGUAUAAUGUAGGCUGAGAGGAUCAAGAGGAGUGCAACAACCUUGAAAGUUGUCUGGAUCACGCUUAGAUUCUUAUCAGAACGUCGAUACCAUAGCUUGGUCAUGUUGGGACGCGCUAGGCGUGUGACUAGUAUGAUCCCUAGAUAGAACACUGCUUGGAUUAUAACCCAAGGCAUCUCUGUGGAAUAACUACAAUGACAGCAGAGGAUUAGUCCUGACUGUUAAAUUUUUUAUACGAGACAAUGAGAGGUUGAAACCUAGACUAAUCCUAAAAACAUGUAAUUGCUAUAUAUACUCCUAGAAUGGUAAAUUUGAACGUGUAUCAGAUGGAAUUCUAGUUGGAGGUUACGAGUAUUAGUCUUGGUUUCGGUUUAGUAAUUAAAUAAAACGAACCUUAUGGUGUAGCGGCGUUGGUGGUGCCAUGAGAGACCUAAAGGAAGAACAGGCCAUGACCACCAGUACCAUGGCUUCAACCAAACUGCUCCUGGGAACGUAAUCACACUGUUUGGUCCACACGGUACGUUCCAUCUGAGUUUUAGGUCUAAUAAAGACAUAAAGAGAGCGACAUGCACACAUAAAUAGAUUACCAAAAUGUUAUUACUUUUGGGGUUCAUGAAAUGGAGAGAGUGGUGGUUACUUACAGUAAUAAGAUGCGUCCAUUUGAUAUCCCAAAGGAAGCCUAAAAUGUCCAGUAAGUGCGGUGGUAAGGUUAUCGGAAGGAGGACGAAAGAGAGGCUGAUUGAGUAAAUCAGAGAAGUAGCUGACAAGAAAGCCUUGAUCAGCUCCAUCAGAGUUAUCUCUCUUUACUUCAAGCUCAUGAAUCAUGUCUCUAAAGACCUCCAUUGAUGGCUGCAACACAAAGAGACCAGUGUGGAAGAUGCAAGGGUUAAUGAAGACAGCACAGAAUUGGCCACACUGGAAGAGCUCGUCCGUGUUUUUGAGGAAGAGAUUGUCGACGUCGAGCAUUACGACACGGUCAUAAUCAGAGAGAGACCAAGCGUAGAGCUUGUUUAGACUAAGCUUGAAUCUGUUGUCGAAGUUGGUUUGUUUCUUGUACGGAUUCUCAAGAUUCUCUACUCUCACUACUUUAGCUCCGUCCUCUUCUUCCCUAGAUACCCAAUUAGUGAAUUAUAUUAAUCAAAUUUACCAAAUAAAAAUAAAGAUUAUAUUAAUAAAUAGUUUCUUCUAAACAACUGCAGCAAGAAAAAAAAAACAUUAUGCAUAACUUUGAUUUAUAGUUCCUGAAUAUUCUAUAUUUUUUUCAGUUCCAAAAAAGGGAAAUCAACAAAAAAAAAGUUUUAAAAGGUCUGAGACUUUUAGUUACUAUAAUAAGGUAUCUGACAGCCAAUUUACUCUUUUUAACAAUGUUAUAUUUUCUUAUCUCUUUAAAGUUUAAAAUAAAAUCAACAAGCAAUCCCACUAAUAUAUACAUUUACACAUCUAAUCUCUUAAAUACUCACCUUCCACUAAAGAAAAGAGAAACAUCAAAUUUCCACCUAACUCAUGUAAGUUUGAAUAUGAAAAUGAAAAUGAAAAUGAAAAGGUGAUAUGAAUAUGAAGUAAUUCCGACAAACAAAGAAAUAAAUCAUUUUAAAAGUAAGCUUCUAUGUUUGAAAGAAAAAUCCUAUUAUGAUUUUUAUUUAUGGCUGAGAAAUUUUAAUCAACAAUAGAAGAAAAAAAGACAAGCAAUCCAAAACAGGUCGUGGAAAACACGUCUGCGACUAAUUAAGACUGUCUUGUUCUGGACAUUUUCAAUUUUAAUAAUAAUAUAUAUAUUAGAGCCAAAUAAUCACUUUUUGAAAAUUUUAAAUAUUAUUUUCAUGCUCUUUCCCGCAUUACUGCUCUUCCAUGUUCUCAUCUAUUUUUCCUCUAAAUUUUUUAAAAAUAUAUUAUGAAAAAUUUGUAUAAUCCAAAUGAGGUUAGAAAACUAUUUUAGAAAAUAAUGUUUUUUCCUUGAUUCAAAGAAGAAAAAAAAAAAGACUAGAGAUUUUUCUAACAAUUAAACGGUACCGUUUUGGCGAUGAAAAAGAAAAGAAAAAGAAGAUGAGGAGACCACACUUACAAAGCGUGAAUCCAGUUGAUCGGAACGUCGAGAGAGGCGAUGACGACGAUAUCAGCGUCCACGUGAAGACCCUUAAGCGAUCUGAUCAAGACACGUGUGGCAACGUAGAACUCGUAGUCUCUUGGUGUUCCCAUGUACAUCAUCGUCGCAUAAGCGUUCCUGUGCUCCGGCCGCUGCGUCUUUAAUCCUCGCUCCAUAACCGCGGUCAACGCGUUUGCGUUUUCCGUUUCAAACGGCUGGAACAGCUGUUUCUCGUUAUACGCUGUCGUUUCGAUGAUUAAAAGAAACAGAACCCAACAAGAGAACACUAUAGUUCUCUGACAAUCCAUGCUUAAUUUCUUCUUUAUACAAACAAACCAAGAGAAUUUUCAGAAUUCGGUUUUGUGGGGAAUUUCAAUUUUCAUGGUUUUUUGGGGUUUUACACAUGUAAUGUAAUCACUUAAUGUAAUGCAGUAAUGGAAUUAUGAAAGACAGAUGUUUCUGGGAGACUGGAAAGACUUUAAAAGGUCAAGUAGUGUGGCCAAUAUGAAUUAAUCUUUUUUAAAAAAAUUAUUUAUUUCCUUAGUUUUAAAUUCUCCAUUUUAAGAUAUAAAUUAUUUGGAAAUGUUUAACCAAAACUGGCUAGUAGGUGCAUGCUCGAAACAAAUUAGUGACUUACUGGUUGUUGAACACCCAAAAUUCAAAAUUUAAUGGACGUUGAGAAUUCUGAUACAUACUCUUUCUGUAAAAUAUUCAAUUUCUCCUCUGUCAUAUCUGUUUUGUUGAUCAGAACUCAGAACAUUGCAUCUUAUUAGUACUUAAACUCCACUAGGGAGGUAGUAUUUGGAUAGUAAGCAUUUUUUACCAAAAACAUGUCAUCAAAUUGGCUAAACGUAGACCGAAAGCAAACAAAAUUGAGGGAUUAUAAAUUGAAUGGGUCGUUGGGCGUAUAUACCCACUACUCCGCUACUCGUUAACACAAUCGCUUGAUUUGAAAAGAGAUAUGAAGAUAUGAGAUAGAAAUUAUAGUUAUAUUGAUGGUAUAAAUUUUGUCUAUCUUAAUCAUUUGAAAAAGAAUUUAGUUGAUACAUUGUCUUUUGUUUUUCUUUAGGUAAAAUUCGUCUGAUAGGUUUAGUCCUUAGAUGAAAUUUACUAAUACUCAUUGUUGAAUUAUUAGAGUACGUAGUUGAAUUAUUUUGUCGACUUUCAAAUAAAGGAUGAUAAAUAACAAUGGGGAAAUUACAGAGUGACGUAUACAUUCAAACAAACAAAAAAAUCUUAUUCGUUAUACUUAUACAACAUGUGAACAUGAUAUGGGGUCCAAACCGAACAAUGGUAAAACUGUAAAUAAGAACUAAAACAUGGACAAUUUAUUUGGUGACUAAAAAUAAUGGGCCGGGAAGGUUCUUAUUAGGUUCCAACAAAACCAAAACCGGAGACGAAAAAGGCCGUGGCCUGAAGAAAAAGAUAGAAAUGUAACCAUGUGUGGCCAUAGAUCAGGCCAUAGAGUGCACAUCCUAAUAUGUACACCCCCACCAUCACUUCCUUUGAAUUCACUCUGCAAUAGAAUAAAACAAAUUUUGAUCUUGUUAAAACUAUGUGUAUUCGUUAGAAAACAUCACCUAUAACAUAAGCGGAAAUAUAUGUAUAACUUCUUCAUCAAUUUCUCACCUCUCAUAACAAGAUUUCCUUUGAACGACCCGCGAGAGUAGCUUAUUCUUUAAAGCAUCUCCUAAUUUUUCGGUCACAACCCAUUCGUUCACUCUUCCUCCUUCAAGUAGGCCAAUGCACGUUCCUUUGGUUCGAUGCAUAGCCAUUACAUUCUCGAACAAGAUCCAAAAUAUCACGAGGUAGAAGGAUCUAGUCGAAUGCAUUAAAUUGAAAUCAGAAAACUGAAAAAUCUUGAUGAGUAAUUAGAUUAAUUAAUAGUUAGACUACCUUGGAGUUGCCAUGGUGUGGAAGAUAGUGAUCAAAGAGGGAAUGUAAAUGGUAGACCAAGAUGGGAUGUAGAUUUCAGGGAAGAAGACACUUGUUGGCACAAUUAUACAGUAGAAGAAGAAUGUCAAGAAGUGUACUGCCACUUUCCUUACGAAGAAAAAGCUGUAGAUCACAUAGAACUUCUUCCAUAUUGAUACUUUCUGUUCCAAAACAAACAUUCCUUGUUAAUUAAUUAGCUUUAUGUAAAACGAAUUACUUCAAUGCAAACAAUAUUAAAAUCGAACCAUUUUGAAACCGAACAAAACCUAAUUAAUUAGCCAAACUGGUUGAUAUAAGACCGUACAUAUCACACUACCCCGGUCCCAACGAGAGACAAAGAGAGGGACUUAAACCAAUCAAUCACUGAAACGUGUGUUUCAACACUGGUCCUCAACUAGUUCAAACAGGACACCCUGCUUAUCACUAUCACGGGUCCCAAUCCGUCUAAAGACAAAAUAAAUUAGGACAUCAGUCACUAAACACAUGGGGUCAGAAUGAAGCAAAGUGACAAAAAGGACCUUAUUACGAAUGAUCUCCAUCGUCAUUUUUCUAAAUAGAUUGGCCGGUCCACAGGACCACCUAUGUUGCUGGAAUCUGUAGGCCUUGAAUUUGCUUGGAAGCUCGUUUCUCACCUGCAUACCUCCAAAUUAGCCAUUUAUUGUUUUGUUUGUGAUAACAAAAGGAGACUAAUUAAUGUAUUUAGUAUUCUUAUGAUUUUGAGUAACUAAUUCUCUAAUAUAUAAAGGAAAACGUGUGUUACCUUGAGGUCGUUAAGGUAGACAAAUUUCCAGCCGUGAAGACCAACACGAACAGCCAAGUCCAUGUCCUCUACUGUGGUCCUUGAUUUCCAUCCUCCUGCUGCUUCCAUUGCCGAUAUUCUCCAUAUACCCGCGGUUCCUAUAAUUAUUAAUAUAUCACUUCUAUUUCAUGGUCCCAAAAAUAUGAGUCUUAUAGUCACCCACAAGGUGUUUUCAACGAGUUUAAUAAAUAAGUAGAGGGACUAAUAUUAAUCUUUUUAUGAAAUAUAUAUUUUUAUAUUUUCUCAUUUCCCUUUUAAUUUAAGGUUCACACGAUGCUUUCUCUUAGCUUAAGAUGGCAAUCCUUAAGGUUCAUCGUCUUAAUAUUUUUGACUACAAACCAUCCUUAGGUUGAUGAAAUGAUGACUGCCAACUCAUAUAUAGAUAUAUAAUCAAUUAAUUAGUAAGUAGUGUUAUGGUUCUUAAAUUUUUUGUUCUAAAAGCUGGUGUUAUUUUGAUUGUGCUUGGAGAUUUAAUUAUACCAUUAAAUCCGAAGAAAGCAUGUCUAGUCGACCCUGAUUCUUGUUCCACCUUGAAAUGAUAGUUGAGAGACAUCUCUUGCAUCCUCGUCAUCAAACAUUUGUUCGCGUUAACUGCAAGAAAAUCACCAUUCAUUAUCACACUGAAAAAUAAAUAUUCAUGUCAAACCAGUUGACAAUACAUUAUAAAAUUAAAUGAUUGUAAACAUACCAAAUAUCCAUCGGGCUUGAACGAGAGCAACGUCAGGGUUGUGGACAAGAAAGGGGACGGUGCGGAUGAGGUAAUCGGGCUCUGGUUGGAAAUCGGCAUCGAAGACUGCUACGAAAUCGCAUUGCUUGACGUAGCUAUGCGUAAGAGCUUCUUUCAUAGCUCCAGCUUUAUAGCCGUUCCUAUUAUCUCUCCUUUCACACCUUAUGUUUAUGCCUUGGCUUUGCCAUUUUGCAAUCUCUAUGUCCACACCGCCCUGCUUACUCUUUCACAUUUAUCAUACUAUACAUAAAAUGUAUGCAUCCUAAUAUGUGAUGGAUCGAUAUACUAAUCUCGUUUGUAUCGAAAUCUUGUGUCAUAUAUCUUUGACUUGUAAAUCAAAAGAGGAUUCAAUUAUAGGAAAAAGAUAAACAUCUUAGGUGAAAAAUUUGUGAGACAAGUGUUACUCCUAUACUAUUUCUUUGUUUCUCCUAUGAAAGAUAAGAAACACAAAAUAAAGUGUUCAAAAAAAAUUAAGCACUAAUCAAGCGCUUGAAGAGGGUCUGACGCCUAACUAUUUUUUUUUUUUUGUCAUCCGAAAUUAAUUAGAACUCAAAAGAGCCAUUCCUGAUAAUUAUUGGGAAACUUUUUUAUAUUAUUUUAUAUUUCUAUAAUUAAUAAAAUAUAUAUGAUAGUUAAAGAAAUUAUGUAUGUUUCAAUAUAUUUUCUAAUUUUUAAAGUAAAAUAAAAUAUGAUGUUAAAUAUAAAAUAAUAAUGUGUUUUUCUUAUAUCCAAAAUUUUUUUCAUAUAUUCAAAAUAUUUCUCCAUAUUUGUAAUUAUUUAAUAAAUAAUUUGAAAAUAUAUUAGUCCGACAUUUUAACCAAUUAAUUAGAGGUGUAGGUCCAAAACUCGGUUGAAAAAGUUUUUAACUGAUGCGUUUAGAACGUUCAAUUGAUUUGACUGCCUAAGUGGCCGAUUCUUUUUAACAUGCUAUAUAAAUUGUUUGAUUUUUUUGUAAAUCUAAUUAAUAUAUAAUUAAAAAAAAAACAGAAUUCGAACAAGCUACUUACCCUUACGGCCGGAUCCGUAGAAUCAUCUACAACUUGAACUACUAGGCGGCUUGAUGGCCACACCAAACUACAUAUUGCCGCUAUAGAUAAUUGAAAAACCUACAACGAGUAAACAGAGUAUGCAUCAUUAUGUCGUUAGAUCAUUAUGUCGUUAGUUCGUAUUAUAUAUAUAUAUAUAUAUAUAGUGGAGAGUGUAAAAUGUGUAAUCAACCAUAUAAUAAAGAGAGUGUAAUUAAGAAAGGUAUAGUAUGUAUGUAUACCUCUUUUUCAUUGUACAUUGGUAUUUGGAUAAGAACCAUUGGGUAGUUAUCGGGUCCAACCUCAACAUCUUCUUGCAUGGCCUCCCAUUUGUACACUUUAUGGGGUUUACGUCUAAAUAACUUGACGAAGAGUAUCACAAAGUUCAUGUAAAAACUCUCAAAGAACACUAUAAUGGAUAGAACCAAACACAUAACCACCAAACCCUUGAAAACAGGAAGUAAUACAACACUCCUCGUUUUGGUCCACAAAUAUUGGAGUUGGAUCCAUUCAGACUCUGCAGCAUUUUUGUCUGCUUCAAGCCUCUCCUGUUUUGCUGCAGCAUCUUCAAGACUCCCUCCAUUAAACUAAUUCAUGCAUGAGAAAAUAGCUAUUAAUUAUGAAUGUCACAGCAAUUAAUAAAGUAUUCAUAUAUAGAGAGAGCUAUGAAGUACCAGAAGUAAGAGGAGACUAAGAGUGGUGUCGUAGAGGAAGAGGAAGGGCUUCAGAAAUAAAGACAUUGUUGCUCUAGAACUGAAGCUCUCGACAGAGGAGAAGUGGUGGCUUAAUUUUCUUUCUUUCUUGUCACACAAUGACCCUUUUUAUUGACAUUUUUUUUUUAUUGUGAUGACUUUUUACUUUUGACUGGUUUUGUCUCCUUUGUAAUAUGUCACACAAUACUGUUAUGAUCUCCAAAUAAAUUUUUUUUUUUUUUUUCUCACAUUCUAAUUUAAGUGGACGAGGGCGUUAACGUUAUCGCAGCUUCUCUAAGCUGGUAACCACAGAAGGGAACGCAACAAAGAAUAAUCAUCUCCACCUCCUCAUGAUUUUUGUUAGAUUUAUUCCACGUGAUUCAUUCAUCUAAUAUCACUCCACAUUUUAUUAUUAGUAAAUGUUGGUUGUAUUUUGUAACUUAAUUAGUGACGUACGAGUACGACGGUUUCAUAAAUUGUUACAUUUUUACUUGUAAAAUAUUUUUUUAAUCAAAUCAGUAAAUCACACGUCAAAUUAAACUAGCAUUUAUGAUUAGUUAGUUGCCCUCUUAAAAAGUGAAGAGGUUACAAAAUAAACAUCAACUAGAUGAUUUACCCGCACUAUGUGCGGAGAGAAAUAGUUAUAUGAAAUAUAUAAACAAUUUUUUGGAAACCGAUUAUAUAUUAUCACUUGAUAUAUAAGUGUGAAUAUUUGAAUAUAUUUAGUAACUCAUAUAUUUUGGAUAUUUUAUUAGUUAGGAAUUAGGAUAUUCCAUAUUUGGAAUAAGAUUUUAAAUUAAAAUAUUGACCAAAGUUUUUUUUUGAAAUAUCAUUCCUAUAAUUCUGAAAUAUAUUCGAAUAUUUUUUGUAUUUUAAUUAAGAUUUUAUUUUGGAAACAAUUCAAUAUAAAAACUGAAAAGAGUAUGAAUAAUUAUUUUUUAAAUGUAAUAAAAUUUUAUUAUCCUUUAUUAUUCUUGAUAAUUCUAUGUAGUUAGGAUUGAUUUAUUGCAUAUCCCUCAUUUUAUGAAUCAAUUUAUAUUGUUACGAUAAGGUAUUGGGUUGUAAAUAAAUUGUAACUAAAAUGAGUAAAUGACUAAUUAAAUUGAAUAAACCGUGUAAAAGUUUUAAUAAAUUGAUAAGGUAAAAAUUUGAAAAGAAAUAAUAUUGAAAAUAAUGAGUAAGCGGAUACAUUUUUAACAUAGAUUAAUAUUGAAAUAUUGUUCAUAGUGAAUGUGUAAUAAAUGAAAUGUUACUAACUAAUUUAUGUAAAACUAUGUUCCAAAUAUAUUUAAGAAACAUAUGGGCUCACAUAUACAUUUAGAUGUUUUGUAAUUUAUAACAAAAAAUAGAAUGUCAUAUAUGUUAAAAUUCUAAAUGUUUUUUAUAAAACAUAUAAGAAAAUAUAAGUACAAAACAUAUAAUAAACAUUUAUAUUAUAUAUUGUUCAUCAUAAUUUAUGCUAUAUACUUUUUACUUGUUUCGUCAAUUUAUAUAGUUUUUAUUAAUUAAUUUCCUUUAUUAAUUGCUAAUCUCUUAAAUAUAGAGGAGAAAUAUGCAUAAGUACCACUAAUGGCAUUAUAUGUAAUUAGUCUAGUAAAUAUUGGACAAUUGUUAAGUUUGGUCAGAGUUUCUCUGGUUGCGACAUGUUAGCAUGGCAGUCUUGUAAAUCACACGUGAAGGUAAUGUUUUUUAUUUAAAAUGCUUCUCAGUUAAUAUAUAGGGGAUUAAUCUACUUAUAGAGGAAUGAGCCAAAUAGUCGGUCGUCCUAACAUGUUUAAACAGAAAAUCUAUAAUUAUGAUAUUUUAGGAUCGGAGAUUAGUUUUUUCAUAUAUAUUAUAUAUUAAUAAUAAAAUGCAUAUAUUUAAAAUUGAAUUACCACUAUCUAAAAAACUAGUGUGAAAAGAAGACUUUUAAAAUUAUUAUUUAGUUGACAACAAUGGAUAAUCCGAACUGAACCCCAACUAAUUCUACGGGUGAAUGUAAUAGACAAAAGUGAAAGAUUUCCACUAAUUUUGUUUAUGACUAUAAUGUGAUUACCCAAACAAAAGUGAAAGAUUUCCGAAGAGAAACCAAUGAAUUUUACCACCAUGCCACUACAUCGCUUACUUUAAUGGGAGACUCACAAAAAUGCCUCUUUUUCAAUACCCAUUUUCAAAAAUGCCCAUUUUGGAUGUCCAUUUUUAAAAAUACCCCUUUUAUGUACAAAAUGACUAAAUUACCCUUCUUUUAAUAAAAGAUAUCAUAAAUAUAUAAGGAAAUAUAACAAAAUUAGGUCCACAAAAUACAAAAUAUUUUUUGGCGAGAAAAGUGAUCCCCCAAUUUUUCCCGCCAAAACACUUGUAAAAAUUUGUAAAACCUUUAAAUUACCUUGUAAAAUUUUCCCGUAAAAUUUUUUCCCGCCAAAAAAAUUUUUUGGCGGGAAAAAUUUUUACGGGAAAAUUUUACAAGGUAUUUUAAAGGUUUUUACAAGUGUUUUGGCGGGAAAAUUGCGGGAUCACUUUUCCCGCCAAAAAAUAUUUUGUAUUUUGUAGACCUAAUUUUGUUUCAAAUAAGGGUAAAAUGGUCAUUAAAAAUUAAAAGAGGGCAAACUUAAAAAUGGACUCUCAAAAGGGGCAUUUUUGAAAAGGGGUAUUGAAAAAGGGGCAUUUUUAACAAUUUCUCUACUUUUAUUUUAUUUGUUACUACCUUCUUUUUGGGUAGUAUUAUUAAUCUCAUGUGCAUACCAAAUACCUUGCCCCCCUGUAUUUUUAGAAAUGGAGAAUUAAUUAAAUUUGAGAGAAAAUUUUGAAAUUGACUUAUCAAUGAAUCAAACCAUGUGAGCUGCCAAAAAGAAAAGAACAAAACAUCAAAGCAUGAAUUCAAUUUAUAUAUAUGGUAUAUAUUUUGAAAAUACAAAAGGGGAAAAUUCCCAAAAAAAACCUCAAUUAUUUUUUAUUUGGACGUUUAAUACCUAAUUGUUUUCGGUUGGAAGAAAAAUACACAUAUUAAUAAAAUUGUGCGAUUUAAUACCCAAACAAUUAAAUGUUGUUAUUUUCAUACUGACGAUCUAACAAAAAAAAUAAAAUUCCAAUUUUACCCUUACUAUUUCAAUUAAUUAUUAACUUUUAGAUUACGUCACAAUAGUUUUUUAUUUAAAUAAAAAUUAAUUUUAUAAAUAUUUUAUUUCUUUGUUAUCCCAAAAAAAAAUUCAAAAAAAUUUUCAAAAUAAUUUGCAGUUUAUUUUACAAAUAUUUAAUUUUAAAAAUUAAAAAUAAAAUUAAUUAGCAAAAAAUUUAGAAAAAGUAAAAAAAAAAAAUUAGCCAUUUUUAUGAAUUGAUAAAUCUUGAGAGAGACGAUGAGAUUCGGAUUGAGAUUUUGUCGAAAAUAGUUUCAUUCGUGAAGGAUUUAUAUUCGAAUAGAGAGUUUCUCACGACGAAAAAAAAGUUCAUAUUGAUGCUCGUUGAUAUCAUAUGCAUCACGACGAAUCAAAUCAAAUUAGUUUUAUUGGCGAUGAAGAUUUUGGAUAGGAUUAAAAGGAGAUUGCGAAUGGUUAUCGAAUUUGAUGGUUGCAAAAGAGGACGACGGAGAUUGUUUACCGGUAAUUCUCGUAGAUAUUAAUCGAAAAAAUUAGAACCGAAGAGAAAACGUCUCUUUGACAUUGCAAAGACGGAAUAAGAUUGUACAAAUGACUAUUUUUAAUAUUUUUGAUUUUCUGCUAAUUUUUAUGUUUAAUUUUAAAAUAAAAUAAUUAUAUAAAUUUAAAAUUUAUUUUUUAGGCAUCAUAAAAUAAAGCAUUGACAAAAUUAAUUUUUAUUUAAAGAAAAAAAAUAUCACCUUAUUUAAAAGUUAAUAAUUAAUUGAGAUGAUAAGGGUAAAAUUGGAAUAUAUUUUUUGUUGUGAGUUCGUAAGUAUGAAAAUAACAACAUUUGAUUGUUUGGGUAUUAAAUCGCACAGUUUUAUUAAUAUGUGUAUUUUUCUUCCAACCGAAAACAAUUGGGUAUUAAACGUCCAAAUAAAAAAUACAUGAGGUUUUUUUUGGGAAUUUUCCCAAUACAAAAGUGACGAGUGUGGAGAAAGUUACUACAGUUAGUAUUUAAGAAACUGACCAUUUUCUACUGUUAUUUGUCUUCCAAUUUGUUGAUCAAUACAUUAAAAUUUUAACAAAAGAAAAGUAAAUUUUUUAACAAAUGUAUCUGUGUUAGAUUACAUAUGUUGAUAGUUACUUUUUAUGGAAGACAUAAAAUUUUGAGCUUUUCUUUUCACAAUAAUUUUGAGCUUGACAAAAAAAUAAAAAAUUUUUUUUUUUUUUUUUCCGGCAAAUCAAGUAUAUUGAUAUUAAAAAGUGUUUACAAGAUACAUUAAUAUUUCGAAACGACCAAUUACGCAAAUACAUGAAAUUAUUACAAUUUCGAUGAAGGAGUGGAGAGUAACCAUGCUAUCUUUAGACUUAUAGGCUAACAGAUAUAAUCUGUUAUGUCCCCCCUUCACACACUUUUUAUUGGCUAUCAGCAUAUAGUUGAAACUCCAAAAUGUUCUUGGCAUUACAUCAUCUAAAGAAAUGAAAAUAAGUGUCGUUGGAAAUAUUUCUGGAACUUGUCGUCUCAUUGUAAUCAAAGUACUUGAUAGUUCCCGCAAAGAUUCUUUAUGUUCAUCGUGAUAUAUCCGUUGUUUUCUCUCCCACGCUUCUUGCCAUAGUGAUUGUUUCAAGUGAAGCCAAUCAAUAUUUGCAGGUUUAUCCCAUAUAGGACACAAGUCCCUGACGUCUAGUGAUCCUCUAUACCAAGGAACAAAUACAAUGUCGGAUUUUAUGAAUUGACCUUUUGCAAACGUUGCCUUUAUGUAACGAAGCUUCUCGGCAACAACAUCUACAUGUUGGUCAAAAUCAGAGACAAGAAUAUAGUCUCCCCUAACCUGAUUUGCUUUCUCUAUUAAAAGAAUAAUAUGGUUUGAAAGAUACGGAUUUUAAUCUCAUUGGCCCUUUUGGGGAGAAUCAUUCUUUGAAAAACCCCUCUUUAUUCUCACUACCCCCUCUCCUUCCCAAUUUUUUCAUAAACCAAUUUUACCCCUUAUCCUUCCUUUUAUCUAUUUAAUUCUACAUUUAAUUUAAUACCAACAAAUUCUUUAUUCAACCAAUCAAAAACAUUCUCUCUCUUCUCUCAUUAAAAUCUAAACCUAACAAAUCAACCAAUCAAAUCAACCCACCUUUAACGACAUAAAUCCGUCCUACGUCUCUUCUCUUCUUCUUCUUUUUCUUCUUCUUCUUCUUUUUCUUCUUCCUCUUCUUCAUCUUCAGCAGCUCCGAUCUUCUUCUUCAACAGCUCCGACGUUCUUCUUCAGCAGCUCCAACGUUCUUCUUCUCCAUCCACCAUUAAAAGAUUUGUAUCUUCUUCUUCUUACGAUUCAAGCAUCUCCAAACUAAAAGUGAAUUCUUCUUCUUCUUACGAUUCAAUUAAGCAUCUCCAAAUUCUUAUCUCGUCUUUUCUUUUUCUUCUUCUUCUUCUUCAUCCACCAUUGAAGCUUACCAUUAAAGCUUACGAUUAUGCAUCUCCAAAGACAUAUCUCUUCUCUUCUUCUUUUUCUAUUCCCACCAUAUUGUAAGGUAAGUAUACUUGUUUUCUUAGUGUAGUAUGAUUGAGAAAAGUUGAAUUCGUAGCUUGAAUAGGGUUAUUUGUUAAAAUAUUUUAGGAUUGCAGAUUUGGGACAACUGAAACUAUUAGGUACAACUAAGUAGAAUAUUUACGAAAACCCUAAGUUUGGUGCAACUGGGACAAAUGUGUACAACUAUGUUGAUGGUCUGCUACGAAAGUUGUGAAAUUAUAUGCCAAUGAUGGUGACGUUGAUGGAGACGAUGCGGGUGACCAAGGUUGAUUUAUGAGUGCUAUUUAUUAGGAUAAUUUAAAAAACGAUAUUGUUUGUAUUGGUUUUGUUUAUGAAACUUAUAUGUUAUGUGUUGUACAACUAAGUUUUAUGAGUGCUAUUUAUUAGGAUAGUUUAAGAAACGAUAUUGUUUGUAUUGGUUUUGUUUAUGAAACUUAUAUGUUCUGUGUUGUACAACUAUGUUUUAGCAGGUACAACUAUGGUUGAUUGCUUUGUCGUAGCUUUGCAAAUUAAGUUGUUCAGUCUUGGUACAACUAAGUACAACAAGUACAACUAAGGUCUAUUGUCUUGGCCAAUUUUAUAAUAUGAACAAUUAAAACCAAAUUGAAAAACCUAAAAAAAUGCAUACACGAUGGUAAUGAAACUACACAACAAGUUUUUGACAAAAAAUUUCAAAAUUUUCUAAAAUAAUGAAAUUCUUACAUAAAAUCCCACAUUCAUACACUAACAACCUUAUACUUUCAUGGUUACUUUGUAGUUUUGAACUAAAAUUUUAUAAAUUUUUGAAAUACUUGUAUUUUGAUAAAUAUAAAUACACAGAUACAAGAUAAUGGUAUUUUUAUGAGGCAAUACCAUCGGUUCCACGCAGAAAAAUUAAACUAGAGUUGAUAACAACUAGAUUUACUAAAUUCUCUAUAUUGUACAACUAUGAGCAAAAAUGUGCAACCGGGUACAACUGUACAACUAUGAACAAAUUUGUGCUAUUUUUAAUUAUUUUUUUCAAAAAUAACGGCGCCAGGUAAGCUAUUUGUCAGAUUUUUUUAGAUAUUUUUAGAUAUCCUUAGAUUCUUUCAGAUAUUUUUCAGAUAUUUAACUGUUUUUUUAAUAAAAGCCCUUACAACCUACAUAUUUGUCAGAUUUUUUGAAAAAUUAAGAUUUUUUUUUUUUGGUUCAAAACUCUUAGAUUAUAUUCAAUACAUAGAUUCAUACAUAAAAAUAUUAAGAUUUAGAUUCAAAGAUACAUACAUAAUUAGAUAGGUUUUGAACCAAAAAACAUAAACCCAGAAACAUAGUUGUACCUGAUCGUACCAGUUGUACCUAAACAAUUAGCUUCAUACAUAACCUUAGAAACCAAAACACAUCCGAACAAUUGUACAUAAACACUUAGAUUUAUAAAAAACUUUAGAAACCAAACAGCCUUGGGUACAAAAACAGUCUCUCCAUCACCUCUACUAUCACCAACAACCUUGGAUACAAAACAGCCUCUCCAUCACCUCUAUAAUCACCAUAAUCCAUGUUAAAACCAGCAGCCAUGGUCUCACAAUCAGACCUCACUACAGCUGCUAUCUCUGAAUGCUUUGGAUCUAAUUGCUUUUGUCUUUUGACACUUCUAAGAGAGGCAUAUGGUUCACUUCUACAACUAGAUCCUCCUCCUCUCGUAAUAACCAUUGUAAUUAGUAC
rnacentral:lncRNA from 1 species